UUCGUAGGCGGUGCGGUAAGUCGGAAGUGAAAUCUCUGGACUUAACUCAGAGGCUGCUUUCGAAACUACCGUGCUAGAGUGCGGGAGAGGCGAGUGGAAUUGCAGGUGUAGCGGUGAAAUGCGUAGAUAUCUGCAGGAACACCCGUGGCGAAGGCGGCUCGCUGGACCGCAACUGACGCUGAGGAACGAAAGCUAGGGGAGCAAACAGGAUUAGAUACCCUGGUAGUCCUAGCCCUAAACCAUCAGGACUUGGGGUGGCCCGCGUUGGCGGGUCGUCCCGGAGCUAACGCGUUAAGUCCUGCGCCUGGGGAGUACGGUCGCAAGGCUGAA
rnacentral:rRNA from 1 species